CAUCAAAUGUAUUUUUUAUUAAUCUUAGCAACAGCUUGGAUUUUGCACGAGAUGGCUAGAAUAAUGAAAGACAUUGAUUAAGAUAUGUUAAAAAUUGGAAAAAUGAAAUAAAAUAUAGAGGAAACAUCAUUUUUGAUUGCUUAAAAUAAUGUGUAUUAAACAUUAAAAGUUUUAUAACCGAAAAAAGACAGAAAGAUUGUAUUCUAUUAGAAGGAUUCCUUUUUAAAACAGAAUCCAAAUUGAUCGCAUUUGUAUCGAAGAAUCCUAGCGAGUUGUGGCGGUCCGCAAAAAAACACUAAGAUCCAGUGCCAAUUGCAAGCCAACUGCUUUCAUGUCGCUCUUUUGCAAUGCGCUUGUGAUGUACAUAUGCAUUUCCAGAAAGCGUUCCAUGGUGAUACCUAACUCAGCUUGCUCUAUUUCAAGUUGAGAUAUAGGCGGAAUUUCACUAGCCCAGGAGAACGAACAUUUUGGACAGGUAUGUCUCGCUUUCCAAUAUCGAUGCAUAAUCGAU